CCAACCGCCAAUAAAAUUAAAAGAAGAAGAAGAAGAAGAUCUUAGCCGCGAGUCUUCAAAACACGAGCAGCAGACAGAAUGCCAAGGAAAGAAAGUAUCAAAAGAAAAAAACACAAGGAACUCUCUGAUGCAGCCAAAGGUAGCAUCCCUCUCACAAGUUGGCUGAGGAGAGAGAAUAAAGAUGACGUUGAACAUCAGUUGGCUCUAGUACUGAUGCUACUAUUACACACUGGCACAUCGACAGUAGAAGUCCUCACUUACCAGCACGAGGACCUGGUCACAAGGCAGAUAUUCAUAUGCACACGCUGCCUCCAGUAAACCACAUGAGUAAACAUUGCACUGCAACUGAGGACACCACCUGCUCGCCAUGUCCAGAGCAAGAGGACCAUUUCACACAGUUCUGGAACUAUUUACCGAAAUUGCUGUAUUGCAGCACUUUCUAGGAAAUCAGUACAUUAAGAAAGAAUGCUCUGCUACUAACAAUAGAGUUUGCCAGUGUAAAGAAGGCUAUUUUUGGCAAGCCGACUUCUGCAUCAAGCACGCGGAGUGUCCAUAUGGAUAAGGCAUUCAGCGGAAUGGGAUUUUAGACGUUUCUGGGAUAUUAUGUUUUUCUUUGUUUUUGUUUCUAAAUUACAUUAGUCAAACGUUUUUAAUGUGUUUAUAGGUACCUUACACAGUGAUACAAAAUAUGAGAGGUGUGCGCGAGGCACCUUUUCUGCGGUCACAUCUUCGACAUCGCCUUGCGUAAAACACACCGAGUGCAAAU